rnacentral:rRNA from 1 species
UAUCUCUGUAGAGUCUGCAUAUCAAUAAGCGGAGGAAAAGAAACUAACUAGGAUUCCCUCAGUAACGGCGAGUGAAGCGGGAAGAGCUCAAAUUUGAAAUCUUCAAGGUUCUACCUUGACGAAUUGUAGUUUAAAGAAGUGUUUUCUGUUGGAGUUUUGGUAAAAGUUCUUUGGAAUAGGACAUCAUAGAGGGUGAGAAUCCCGUAUUUGACCAUUAUUCCAACUUUGUGAUACACUUUCAAAGAGUCGGAUUGUUUGGGAAUGCAGUCCAAAAUGGGUGGUAAAUUUCAUCUAAAGCUAAAUACUGGCGAGAGACCGAUAGCGAACAAGUACCGUGAGGGAAAGAUGAAAAGAACUUUGAAAAGAGAGUUAAACAGUACGUGAAAUUGUCAAAAGGGAAGCGUUUGACACCAGUGUUGUUUUCUCGAAAAUCAAUUAAAAAUGGUGGGAUGUUGUGUUGUAUUGACUUUAUCAGCUUUCUGCACUCUUUUCCUUAUCUUUUUUAAUGCACUUUUCGUUUAACAAGUCAACAUCAAUUUCUUUUGUUGUAAAAGGGUCAUUGGAAGGUGGCUUUCUUUUCGGAGAAAGUGUUUACUAGCCUUUGACUUCUGCAAUCGGAGAGAUUGAGGUCUGCAGCGUAGAUCCUUCGGGGUUAGAUAGCAUUUGUGCUAAGUUAUAGCCUUUCAUAGACAACUUGUUGACUAUGAUCAGUCAUGUAGCUUACUCGCUUAUGCUAUUUUACCUACGCUUAGGAUGUUGAACGCGCACAGAGUCUC